CCUACGGGGGGCAGCAGUGGGGAAUAUUGGACAAUGGGGGCAACCCUGAUCCAGCCAUGCCGCGUGUGUGAAGAAGGCCCUCGGGUUGUAAAGCACUUUCAGUGAGGAAGAACGCCUGGUGGUUAAUACCCAUCAGGAAAGACAUCACUCACAGAAGAAGCACCGGCUAACUCCGUGCCAGCAGCCGCGGUAAUACGGAGGGUGCGAGCGUUAAUCGGAUUUACUGGGCGUAAAGCGCGCGUAGGUGGCUUGAUAAGCCGGUUGUGAAAGCCCCGGGCUCAACCUGGGAACGGCAUCCGGAACUGUCAAGCUAGAGUGCAGGAGAGGAAGGUAGAAUUCCCGGUGUAGCGGUGAAAUGCGUAGAGAUCGGGAGGAAUACCAGUGGCGAAGGCGGCCUUCUGGACUGACACUGACACUGAGGUGCGAAAGCGUGGGUAGCAAACAGGAUUAGAUACCCUGGUAGUC
rnacentral:rRNA from 1 species